AGCAACUUGUAGUAUCAAGUUGUUAAAAUGUUUCAUGUUUUGGUUAUUUUCGCUAUCUUGCAUACGUGUUGUAGGUUCUCCUACUGCAGAGCAACAAGCUGCUACACGUCUCUUGCAACUGUGGGAACAGCGGAAUUUACAAUACCUUGGACUGCUGCUGAGCACAGUGGAGCCGUCUCUAAGUGUUACCUCCAAAAGGCUUGUGGCACUCAAACGUGCAGUGCCAUGUGUCCCCAAGGAUCAUCACUUCAGCCAUAUGCAGUGAGACUGCUACAGGGACAGCCGUACUGCAGCAUGGCCUUGCCUCCUGCUUCAGGCCAUCUGUGAGAGAUGGCAGAGGUGGGUUUGUGUUUGCUUGGGAU
rnacentral:lncRNA from 1 species